UUGUCAAGUUCAGUACAGGAUAAACAGGGACAAAAAGCUGUGGUUCCUGUCACAGCUGCUGAGGUACCAAUCAAGCUUCACUCAAUCACAGAAUCAUAGAUCAUAGAAUCACUCAGGUUGGAAAAGACCUCCAAGAUCAUCAGGUCCAACCACAGCCAAACCAUAGUACCCUAACUCUAACAACCCUCUGCUGAAUCAUAACUCUGAGCAUCACAGGAGUUAGAAGGGACCUCUGGAAACCACUGAGUCCAACCCACUGCUAAAGCAGGUUCCCUACAGCGGGUUAUACAGUAAAGCAUCCAGAUGGAUCACGAAUAUCUGCAGAGAAGGAGACUCCACCUCUCUGUGCAGCCUGUCCCUGUGCUCCAUCACACCCAAACUAAAGCUCUUCAUGCUUAUAUGGAACAUAAGCUGCUUCCGAAGUAACUCCUCCUGUUUAUUCCCACAGGAACCACACAGAGCCCUAUCACAGAAUCACAGAAUUGUAGGGGUUGAAAGGGACCUCUAGAGAUCAUCGAGUCCAACCCCCCUGCCAAAGCAGGCUCCAUACACCACAUCACACAGGUAAGCGUCCAGGUGGGUCUUGAAUAUCUCCAGAGAAGGAGACUCCACCACCUCCCUGGGCAGCCUGUUCCAGUGCUCCGUCACCCUCACUGUAAAGAAGUUCUUACAGAACUAUAACGCUAUUUGAUAGAGCAAAUACUCGCGGAACGCCGCCCACCCCUCAGCCCCUCACUUCAGCGCCUCAAAGCGGUUUAAUGAGAGAUCCACAACCCCCCCCAACAGAGAGCCCCACCCGGAGCCUUCUCGGUCACCUGGAGCCGGGGACAACGAGACGGGAGAGAAGCGACGAGGAGAUAUAAGAAACCGAACAGCACGAAACAACCCGGAACAACAAGGAACAGCCCCACAGCCCUCAGGGCACAACGGCCGCAGCUCCCGCCUCCCGCCAUAGCGCCAGCAAAUCAGCGCGAGCGCGGCGGGAAACCGAGAGGAAACCGCCUCCUCAGGUCCCGGCCACCAGCUACCUUGGAAUAUGGCUUUGAAGAGCAGAGAACACUUGUUGACCAACCUGUGAACCACCAAGAGAGAUGCUGGCACAGACACAUUGUCUUGAAUGUUAAUGGAGAGAAGAGUGGAUCCAAGCCCUCACAGCCUGAAUCAAACAGACUAUAUGAUCAGACAGACCUGCAGUACACCAGGUUACCAUCCUAUCACAAAUUAUCUUUGAUGUUUUCUUUAGUAGAGAGAAACUGAUUCUGUAGAUGGAGUCAUUAGAAGGCUUUAUGGAAGGAACAGGUCUCAAAGAGAACCUUAAAAAGUCAAGUUUGGUAAAGAAUUUACAAGGCUUGAGAACGGAUUUGCACCAGGAUGAGGGACGUGGAAAAAAACUGUUUAGUUUUCUGGGAGAUCAUAGAUUUUAGUGCAGGUAUCCUCAGCUU
rnacentral:lncRNA from 1 species